rnacentral:rRNA from 1 species
UACGUAGGGUCCGAGCGUUGUCCGGAAUUAUUGGGCGUAAAGAGCUCGUAGGCGGUUUGUCGCGUCUGCUGUGAAAUCCCGAGGCUCAACCUCGGGCCUGCAGUGGGUACGGGCAGACUAGAGUGUGGUAGGGGAGACUGGAAUUCCUGGUGUAGCGGUGAAAUGCGCAGAUAUCAGGAGGAACACCGAUGGCGAAGGCAGGUCUCUGGGCCACUACUGACGCUGAGAAGCGAAAGCAUGGGGAGCGAACAGG